rnacentral:misc_RNA from 1 species
GCCAUACCCAAGAAUUGGCACAAGUAUCACAAACCACUUAUUAAACAGCAGGGUGUAAGCCAAGCAUAAGAUACUGCAAAGUGUACCAAGAAAAUGCCAACGCCUUGUUGCUGGUUUUGAGUGUUGAUUCAUGUAGUAAGGCCAAAAUUCCUCCAUGCUUCUGAAAUUCAUAGCUCCCCAAAACUGCAAACUUGGAGUUCACAAUCAAAAAACCCAGAAAUCUAAUCAACAAAUUAAGGUUCUGGGUAUGACAAAAACACAAACUUU